AGCAGUCUCCGUGGUUGGUCUGGUGUAGUUGAUACAGUUCAUGUUUUCUGUUGGUAACGGGAGCAGAGUGAGUUUGUUCAUUUUGUGUUUUGAUUUCUGUUCAUUUGAUUUCUGUCGUUACAUUUUCAUUUGUGCACCACUCGUCUCCCUUCCUGGGAGCCCCGGGAGAGGGAGCAGAAUCCCGAGGCCAGAGUCGCAUCCUGGAUGGGGACUUCAUGGGGCGGGACUGACUGCCGGUCCCCCAAGCCCUCUGUGUCCCCAGUGGCUCCCGCGUCCCUCAGCAGAGCGGGGCAGGAGGUGUCCAUGGCGGCUCCUGGGGCCCGAGCUGAGAAGGCUGUCAGGGCAGGGGCAGUGGCAGUGCGGGCCCCUCUGUCCUGUGCACAGGGGCUCUGCUGCCCUGUCUGUGGUGGCUGUCCAAGGUUCAACACCCAAGAAGCCCCAAAAACUCGAUCUGCACCAGCAAGGAGACUUCCUGUGGAAGGACCUCUUGGUGCGUGGGCACUGGCUGUGUGCAGCUCUGUACUCGGGUCUAAGGAAGGGGAGAGGCCGCAGCAGCUCCCGGUCAGGCCCCAUCGCUGCAGCAGCCGGGGGUCCCUCUCCUGAGACUUGGAGCCGAGGUCUCGGCACUGCUCGUCCUUGCCCUGCUGCCCCAGCCCUCGGCCAGGCAGUGUGGCCAGGCGGCUCAGGGCAUCCUCACCGCGAAGCCAUCCUCAGGACAGACAGACUGCCCCGGGGUUUCCAUGGGAGAUGCAGCAGCUCUUACCUGGACAAGGCCAUGGCUCCUGUGCCGGAGGCCCCUGGAUGGAGGAGAUGGAAUCGGAGACGCCCAGCUUCAGAAUGCUCACCCUUCCAGAAGAGGUGUUGA
rnacentral:lncRNA from 1 species